rnacentral:rRNA from 1 species
UUCCUACGGGGCGCAGCAGUGAGGGAUAUUGGUCAAUGGGGGAAACCCUGAACCAGCAACGCCGCGUGAGGGAAGACGGUUUUCGGAUUGUAAACCUCUGUCCUCUGUGAAGAUGAUGACGGUAGCAGAGGAGGAAGCUCCGGCUAACUACGUGCCAGCAGCCGCGGUAAUACGUAGGGAGCAAGCGUUAUCCGGAUUUACUGGGUGUAAAGGGAGCGUAGACGGCAAUGCAAGUCUGGAGUGAAAGGCGGGGGCCCAACCCCCGGACUGCUCUGGAAACUGUCUAGCUGGAGUGCAGGAGAGGG